rnacentral:lncRNA from 1 species
CCCAGAGUUUUCUUAGGAGGCCUCUAAAUUCCAUUUAGUUUUCAACAAUAUUUUUGAUAUUUUUAACUCUCAGAAUGGAUUUACAAAAUAUUCAUAUAAAAAAAUUAUCAAAAAUAUAAGAACAACAUACUUUUUAAUAAUUUUGAAAUAAUUAAAUUGUAUAUUAUUGGACUUACUUUAAAAGAAAGGUCAACCAUAGUCACAAAGAAAAACGGGAUUUUUGGGCUUUCUAAUUUGUAUGGAAAGCUUACAACGUAUGUAUAAAUACUAUGUAAAAGAAAAUCAAUUAUUGAAAUAUAUUUUGACUAACUGGUGGAGGUCCACGUAUACAAAAAGCAAAAACGGAAGAUAAUAAUAUAUUCAAUUAAUGUAAAAAUGAGAAGAGCAUUGUGGGAUUAAAAAACAUGAUGGUGAUAGAUUGUCUAAAACUAAUAGGAGUACUGGUAUUUCUCAAAACAAAACUGAUGGUUACAAAGAAACAGAAGAAAAGGGAUGAUACUAAUUUACUAGACAAAAGGCUGUUCUUUUGUAAUAUGGAGAUGGGCAAAAUUCAAAGUAGUAGUAUUCAAAACAGAGAAGAACAUAAGCUAAAGAAAAAAAGGGUUGUUAGACAUUGAAAUAAAAAAAGAACAGUAAAGUUCUCAAAGAGAACUUAUUUAAUAAUUUUAAUUAGUGUUUAUAUUGUCAUGUAAAAAAUGUAAUAUAUGUUAUUUCUGAAUAAAAGACAUUUAAUAAUGAUA